rnacentral:misc_RNA from 1 species
UUUUUUUAAAACUGAAACCCAAGAAUUUGAUUGCUUUCCGCCACAGCAACCAGAGUUCAAGCCUCAACUGGUUCAUAAAUCUUCGAGUUUGAGCCAGCGGAAACCCACCAUGAGUAAAAUAUCGAUACCUCCUCCAGCAAAUUUGAACCCCAUCCCACCUCAGCAACCUGUAGCAGUACCUGCAACUGAGAAUAACAGGUCGGAUUGUAGUGAAGAAAAGCAUUACAGAGGCGUCCGCCGUAGGCCGUGGGGAAAAUACGCAGCGGAGAUUCGAGAUCCUAAUAAGAA